UAAUAAAAUGAUAAAAUAUAUUUGUAUGCAUUUGGUUUUUGAGAAAGGGUCUCAGAAUGUAGAUCAAGAUGAUCUCAAACUCUUAGCCCACUGUUUACUGGGAUUACAGAUAUUGUCCACAAUACUUAGUGUUGUGCAUUAAAAAAAAUUCUAUUCCUCUUCUCCCACAUUUCUUUCAUUCCCGGAAAAGGAGAUCACAAAAGUUUUACAUAUCUUCCCUACAUUUAUAUCUUAAGUCCCCUUACCUUGAAUUCACAUCAAACCCAGGAAUCUAUUUGCUAACCCUCAUUCUUAUGUAAAAGGUCUGAAGUGUAGGUUGGGGAAAUGACAGGAACAUUUUUACUCACAAAUGGUUGUAAGAAAGGCAGAAACUACUGUACUCUUUACCUUUGAGAAGAGAUGCACAGGAAUAUCAAUGCAUACAAGAAGCACGUUCCUUAACAAUCACCUGAGACUUGUCACAAAAUACUUCAGUGCUCUAGCCUCAGGAACAAGCCAGACCCCAGUCCAAAUGGGAGCAGAUAUAUGUACCCAAUGUCAGAAAUAGGUGACUACAGUCCCUAGAUUUUCAUCCCACAUUCAACUGUCCUUGGCACUUCUAUUUUGGCCUCACUGAAACCAGUGCAGCUCAGCCUCCACAUAAAGUUCCUUGUGCUCUGUCUCAUGUCACCUCCUUGGAUUCAUGUAAUAAUUGCUUGUUAUUCUGAGUUGUUAUAACAGGGUUUUAGGAACUGUUAAUAGCAUAUAUUACUGUAUAA